ACUCAAAUGAAUUGACGGGGACCCGCACAACCAGUGGAGCGUGUGGUUCAAUUCGAGACAAAGCGAAAGACCUUACCAGGUUUUGACAUGUUACCGUUUUAACCAGCUAGAAACAGCAGGCUAUCCGCAAGGAUGGUAGCACAGCUGCUGCAUGGCUGUCGUCAGCUCGUGCCGUGAGGUGUUCUCUUAAGUGAGACAACGAGCGCAACCCCCAUCCGAUGUUACAAGUGUCAUCGGAGACGGUCUUGGUUUUUUCCAGGAAGGAAGGAGGGGACGACGUCAAGUCAGCACGGCGCUUAUAACCUGGGUCACACACACCCUACAAUGGCGAAAAACAAUGGGACGCAAGCCGGUAACGGCAAGCAAAUCCCCUGUAAAUUUCGCCUCAGUUCAGAUUGAGGUCUGCAACCCGACCUCAUGAAGUCGGAAUUGGUAGUAAUCGCAGAUCAGCAGGCUGCGGUGAAUACGUUCUCGGGUCUUGUACACACCGCCCGU
rnacentral:rRNA from 1 species